AUCACUUCUUGGCCUUUUGGCUAAGAUCAAGUGUAUUAUUAUUAUUAUUAUUAUUAUUAUUAUUGGGGGGAUAAAAAAAAAUAAAAAAUUGUCUGGUAGCACCUUAUAGACCAACUAAGUUUAUACCAGAACAAACUUAGUUGGUCUAUAAGAU
rnacentral:snRNA from 1 species